rnacentral:rRNA from 1 species
GAUGAACGCUGGCGGCGUGCCUAAUACAUGCCAGUCGAGCGAACAGACGAGGAGCUUGCUCCUCUGACGUUAGCGGCGGACGGGUGAGUAACACGUGGAUAACCUACCUAUAAGACUGGGAUAACUUCGGGAAACCGGAGCUAAUACCGGAUAAUAUAUUGAACCGCAUGGUUCAAUAGUGAAAGACGGUUUUGCUGUCACUUAUAGAUGGAUCCGCGCCGCAUUAGCUAGUUGGUAAGGUAACGGCUUACCAAGGCAACGAUGCGUAGCCGACCUGAGAGGGUGAUCGGCCACACUGGAACUGAGACACGGUCCAGACUCCUACGGGAGGCAGCAGUAGGGAAUCUUCCGCAAUGGGCGAAAGCUUGACGGAGCAACGCCGCGUGAGUGAUGAAGGUCUUCGAAUCGUAAAACUCUGUUAUUAGGGAAGAACAAAUGUGUAAGUAACUAUGCACGUCUUGACGGUACCUAAUCAGAAAGCCACGGCUAACUACGUG